CUUAAAUAAGGGUUUUUGGAGCCC
rnacentral:siRNA from 1 species